rnacentral:rRNA from 1 species
CUCAACCAUGGAAGUGCCUUCGAAACUGUUGCUCUUGAGUCCCGGAGAGGUUGUCGGAAUUCGUGGUGUAGCGGUGAAAUGCGUAGAUAUCACGAGGAACACCAGAGGCGAAAGCGGACAACUGGACGGGUACUGACGCUCAGGCACGAAAGCGUGGGGAGCAAGCAGGAUUAGAUACCCUGGUAGUCCACGCCGUAAACGAUGAAUGCUCGCCGUUGCCUCGUUAAGGGGCAGUGGCUAAGCUAACGCGUUAAGCAUUCCGCCUGGGGAGUACGAUCGCAAGGUUGAAACUCAAAGGAAUUGACGGGGGCCCGCACAAGCGGUGGAGCAUGUGGCUCAAUUCGAUGCAACGCGAAGAACCUUACCUAGGCUCGAACGCUAGGCGCCCGCUCCUGAAAGGGAGCUUUCCGCAAGGACGC